UAAUAAGUGUUUUAUGGCACUUUUUAAAUCCAUAUCCACCUUGUGUGCAAUGUCAGUCGAUCUUCUUCAUGGAGAUCGACCAAACAUCAACCUUUAUUUUUUAACUCUAUGUCUGAAAAAUAUUAUGAAUAAACAAUUCAAAAUA
rnacentral:misc_RNA from 1 species